UGAGUAAAAGUGACUUCAACAACCAGAAUGUAUUUUUGAUAAAUAUUAGUAAUAACAGAUUUUAAAGUUCUUGCAAAAGAUGGUUUUAUCUAUGAAAAUAUUGAAAUUAAAAUCAAUCUUGCUGUUAUCAUAUGUGAUGGACCAGCUAGAGCAUUUGUAAAGUGUAUUAAAGGACACAAUGGUUAUAACUGAUGUGAAUGUUGUGUUUUGAAAGGAGAGUGGUGUGGUAAGAUAAUUCUUCUACAUAUUUCACUAAUUUUAAGCACUGAUUCAUAUUUCUUGUCAUUAAAAGCAUUCUGAACACCUUAGUGGUGUGUUAAAUUGAAUUAAAUUUUGGCAAGGUGACAAAGUUUCCUUUAGUCUUUAUGCAUCUAGUACGCUAGGGAUAAUGCGAAGAUUUGUCAACUUAUGGUUAAAUUGCCCAAAUGUUGUAAAUUGUCUUAGAUUACAGUCAAUAUUUUAUCUGGCGGAUUGUUCCAGAUUCAUCAUUACAUUCUAAGAAAUUUUUCUAGAAAA